UGCGCCCGUAGAUCAAUUGGAUAGAUCGCUUGACUACGGAUCAAAAGGUUGGGGGUUCGAGUCCCUCCGGGCGCACCAU
rnacentral:tRNA from 1 species